rnacentral:rRNA from 1 species
GACGAACGCUGGCGGCGUGCUUAACACAUGCAAGUCGAACGGAAAGGCCCUGCUUUUGUGGGGUGCUCGAGUGGCGAACGGGUGAGUAACACGUGAGUAACCUGCCCUUGACUUUGGGAUAACUUCAGGAAACUGGGGCUAAUACCGGAUAGGAGCUCCUGCUGCAUGGUGGGGGUUGGAAAGUUUCGGUGGUUGGGGUGUGACUCGCGGCCUAUCAGCUUGAUGGUGGGGUAGUGGAUUAGCAAGGCUUUGAACGGUAGCCUGCCUGAGAGGGGGACAGGCCAAAUUGGGAUUGGGAUACGGCCCAGACUCCUACGGGAGGCAGCGGUGCGGAAGAGAGCAUAAUGGGCGGAAGCCUGAUGCAGCAAAGCCGCGUGCGGGAUGACGGCCAUGGGGUUGUAAACCGCUGUCCCCUGUGACGAAGCGUGAGUGACGGUAAUGGGUAAAGAAGCACCGGCUAACUACGUG